rnacentral:rRNA from 1 species
UGACGUCAAAUCAUCAUGCCCCUUAUGUUCUGGGCUACACACGUGCUACAAUGGCCGGUACAGACGGACGCAAAGCCGCGAGGUGGAGCAAAUCCUAAAAAGCCGGUCUCAGUUCGGAUUGCAGGCUGCAAUUCGCCUGCAUGAAGUCGGAAUCGCUAGUAAUCGCAGGUCAGCAUACUGCGGUGAAUUACCGGUUCCCGGGCCUU